GCCCAGAGCCCACCCUAAUCUUCCCCUAUCUCUCCGCCCUCUCUCCCUUAUCUCUUUCUCUCCCGAUCUGAGCGGCGGCGGUGGCGGCUCCCAUCCUCUUCCUCCACUCCUCUCCCUCAGAUUGAGCUCCGCCCCGAAGGAAAGGGUACGCGGCCGUCGAUCUGUGUGCGUCUAGCCAUGGAGGGCUCGCCCCUCUCGCGCGCCUCGUCCGCACGGAGCGCUAGCAGCCCACACGGCGUAGAUCCACUAUCCCUGCGUCCGCCCCACACCGGCCGCCGGUGACUGCCGCACUAUUCCAUUCCUCCCCAAGCGUGCCGCACGCGAUGGCCCAUGCUACCAUGCCGUUUUUCUGCAGCCAGACCGCCACCCCUACCCUCGCGCUCCGGGCAGAGGCUCAUUCUUCUUGGUGGUGACUACGCGUUCCUCCCGGUGGUGGCGCUCUGCCCGCUGUGUUACCUUUCUCCAAGCAGCUGUGCCCUUCGACCCCUACCUGUAAUCAAUUGAUCCGGCAACAGAGAGUUGAAGCUGCAAAGAAGCGUGAUGAGGAAAAAGCCGAAUUUAUGACUGGCAGAUUACAUGCUGGUUUCUUACUGCUUAGGUUUCGACAUUCGACAUUUGAACAAAUCAUAUACUGGAGAUUAUUAUAAUAGAAGGUAAACUUACCAAGCGAACAGAGCGAACAAUACUUUUGUUAGUGUUUUCCAGUCUGUUGCAUGCGCAUUGUGGUCACUACUGUCAAUCCAUGGAAAUUUAAAUGAUGGAUUAAACAAAUGGAACCUAUAUCCUGACUUGCCACUACUAUACUGUAGCUUCUGAAACACUUAUAUGCACAGAUAGUUUCUCUUUUAUCAUAACUGAAACAUUAUAAAGAUAAAUCUCACUCAGUUUUUAAGUGGGGAAGGGAAAGCUUCAAGAUAUUGCAUUUAAAACACUGAUAUCUAUUUGAAAAUUAAUUCAUGUGCAUACCUCCUGGAUCCUAUCAUUAUCAUGUCUCUAUUUCUCUUGUUCAAGAGAAGCGUGAAACAAAGCACUCAUAUUCACAGCAGCACAUACAGUUAUUCUAUGCUAUCAGAAAUAAGGUCGUUAAUAUUCAGAUAUAUGCAUGUAAACUUGGCCGGUUAAUCAUCAAACACACACACACACACACAAACACCACGCUGGAAGGUGGUAUUCAUGGUUGAUAGAUGUCCCUAUAAGAUUGUACAUUGUUCCUCUGAUCCAUUGCGAGGUAUAUAAAUGAUUCGAUUUUGACUUUAUUUUUUCAUCUUAGUUCACCUAGUGUUGGAUAAAAGUUGGACAGAUCCACAUAGGUAAGUCUUAUCCAUAUAAUGCUUUUACAAUCUGCCAGUGGAACUUUAAAUGAUACGAUUUACCAAUUUCAACGAUGUAUAUUAGCAGAUUAAGUAAAAGCAGUGUUAGAUAUGAAAUGAACUUAAUUCAACCAUUCUCUAGAAGAAAGUACCUAUUUGUCAUAUGGCGAUGUUAUCUUGUAGAACAACAAUAGGGAUUUGUUAACAUUCGACCUUUAUGCUGUACUUUUUCCAUUUUGAUUCGCCUACUGUUAAUAUCCUCUUCUUCAACUGACACAUUCUUGCAAGCUAUCACAAUUGAUGAAAUAUAAUUACGAGCACUUAGCUUUUUUGAAUUUUAUAUGCAUACCAGAAGAUUUACUCGUUACAAACAUUAAACAGACGGACCUCUUUUUCAACAAGUUGUUUCAAAUCCCACUGAGACAAAAUAAAAGUGUGCUACUGCUAAUUACUAUACUGGAACAGAAUGUAUGGUUGACAUAAAGGCUAUAUUGGAAUAUUUUAGCUGUUGUGGUGUUCCUAAUAACUUAAAACUGCUGUGAAGAUGAACUGAACAAUAAUACUCUCAAAUUAGAGAGCAAGAAAUUUCGAGUUAGUCUACUGUAGGGUAAUAAAGUUCUUAUAUAUGCUGCAAAUCAGUUGCCUUGUGGUGUAAUCACUGAUGUCAUGUUUCCAUAAGUGCCUGCUGUAAUGACCUUAAUAGUGCAAAGCUAUGUUUUAUAUAAAUUUGCCUAUUCUUUCCAGAGUGCAGGGAAAUGUAUGAGGUGAAUCAAUUUUCCUAUUCUGUUGUUGCUGCUAUAUUUAGGUGUAUGUGGGUUUAAGAUUGGACACUAAUUGUUGAACUAGGAGCUUUCCCUCGUUAGGAAUAUAAGCUGAAACUUUCCCAUUGCCUUGAUUCUUUGUAGGAAAGACAUACAAGAUGACCAGGAACCAUGAAGCUCGCAGUUUGCGUUAACUGUGUAAUGGAGAGGACUAUGAAUCGCUGGACAUGUGUCUAUUAGCUAUCAUAUAUGGUGUCUUGGUCAAGUGGAUAUUCUGUGUAAUGUAAGACGCAUGAUUUGUAGGACAUAUAUCUAUUGGCUAUCAUUUUGUAAACCUAUCCGGUCUCUCGGUCACUGAACCAUAAAUGUUUCCUCUUAAUUGGCUACCUCCUCCGUUUGUGAGAAGUAAUUAAUGUGCUAUUUUUGUUUGGUUUUGGUUUAA